CCCUGGAAAGGGGCGCCAG
rnacentral:snRNA from 1 species